rnacentral:rRNA from 1 species
UACGAAGGGGGCUAGCGUUGCUCGGAAUCACUGGGCGUAAAGGGUGCGUAGGCGGGUCCUUAAGUGAGGGGUGAAAUCCUGGAGCUCAACUCCAGAACUGCCUUUGAUACUGAAGAUCUUGAGUUCGGGAGAGGUGAGUGGAACUGCGAGUGUAGAGGUGAAAUUCGUAGAUAUUCGCAAGAACACCAGUGGCGAAGGCGGCUCACUGGCCCGAUACUGACGCUGAGGCACGAAAGCGUGGGGAGCAAACAGG